rnacentral:rRNA from 1 species
CAGAGAUGCUUUGGUGCCCUUCGGGGAACUCUGAGACAGGUGCUGCAUGGCUGUCGUCAGCUCGUGUUGUGAAAUGUUGGGUUAAGUCCCGCAACGAGCGCAACCCUUAUCCUUUGUUGCCAGCGGUCCGGCCGGGAACUCAAAGGAGACUGCCAGUGAUAAACUGGAGGAAGGUGGGGAUGACGUCAAGUCAUCAUGGCCCUUACGAGUAGGGCUACACACGUGCUACAAUGGCGCAUACAAAGAGAAGCGACCUCGCGAGAGCAAGCGGACCUCAUAAAGUGCGUCGUAGUCCGGAUUGGAGUCUGCAACUCGACUCCAUGAAGUCGGAAUCGCUAGUAAUCGUAGAUCAGAAUGCUACGGUGAAUACGUUCCCGGGCCUUGUACACACCGCCCGUCACACCAUGGGAGUGGGUUGCAAAAGAAGUAGGUAGCUUAACCUUCGGGAGGGCGCUUACCACUUUGUGAUUCAUGACUGGGGUGAAGUCGUAACAAGGUAAGCGUAGCGAG